rnacentral:tRNA from 1 species
GAUCGUGUGGCCUAAUGGAUAAGGCGUCGGACUUCUAUUGUAAAACAAGUGCAAUCCGAAAAUUGCGGGUUCGAGUCCCGCCUCGAUUA